UACGUAGGGGGCAAGCGUUAUCCGGAUUUACUGGGUGUAAAGGGAGCGUAGACGGCCAGACAAGUCUGAAGUGAAAAUCCAGCGCUUAACGUUGGAAGUGCUUUGGAAACUGCCGGGCUGGAGUGCAGGAGGGGCAGGCGGAAUUCCUAGUGUAGCGGUGAAAUGCGUAGAUAUUAGGAGGAACACCAGUGGCGAAGGCGGCCUGCUGGACUGCAACUGACGUUGAGGCUCGAAGGCGUGGGGAGCAAACUGG
rnacentral:rRNA from 1 species